UNAUGGGCGAGAGCCUGAACCAGCCAGUAGCGUGAAGGAUGACUGCCCUAUGGGUUGUAAACUUCUUUUAUAAAGGAAUAAAGUCGGGUAUGGAUACCCGUUUGCNNCUACUUUAUGAAUAAGGAUCGGCUAACUCCGUGCCAGCAGCCGCGGUAAUACGGAGGAUCCGAGCGUUAUCCGGAUUUAUUGGGUUUAAAGGGAGCGUAGAUGGAUGUUUAAGUCAGUUGUGAAAGUUUGCGGCUCAACCGUAAAAUUGCAGUUGAUACUGGAUAUCUUGAGUGCAGUUGAGGCAGGCGGAAUUCGUGGUGUAGCGGUGAAAUGCUUAGAUAUCACGAAGAACUCCGAUUGCGAAGGCAGCCUGCUAAGCUGCAACUGACAUUGAGGCUCGAAAGUGUGGGUAUCAAACAGGAUUAGAUACCCUGGUAGUCCAAGGGCGAAUUC
rnacentral:rRNA from 1 species